UUAAAUUUUUUUUUUUUUUUGGUUGUUAACUCUUACGUUGGAGGCAUAAUAUUUUCUUCUUUAGUGGAUUAUUUGACAUUGAAUAACUUUUGAACACCAGAUUUCAAUUGAUGUGAAGAUUAAGCAAGGGCUUACAUGAAGAUUUUAGUUAUUUGUAAUUAGGAAAUCAACAGUUGCAAUUUUUUUUGUUUUGUUUCCUUAGUGACAAAGUUAAAGUUUUAAAACAGUUUGGUAGAGAUACAGAUCAUUCAUUGACUAGUCAUGAUUUACAUUCCAGAUCAUGUCUUUGUUUCAUUUGGUACACAUCAUGUUCCCCCCCCCCU